GCAGAAUAGCAUCUGACCCAUUCUACAGACAGAAAGGGAGUAUAGAACAGUAGCAAUCUUCUUUCUCUCCAAAAGCAAUGGCACAGCGGGUUAAAUCACCGAGCUACUGAACUUGCUGACUGGAAGGUUGGCAACUCAAAUCCACGGGACGGGAUGAGCUCCCACUGCCAGUCCCAGCUUCUGCCAACCUAUCAGUUCGAAAACAUGCAAGUCAACAGGAGACCAGAGUUUGAAGACACACUCUCUUAGCCUCAGAGGCUAGCAAUAGCAAAUGUCCUCUAAAGAAAUAUUACCAAGGAAACACUAAGGGACCUUCUACACAGACCCUAAAAUGCAGAAGAAACCGAGAUAAAAACGUCAUGGCUACAUGAAGUUUGCUGAAAAAGCGCACUGGAUUGCAUUAACAGCUGAAAAACACAUGUUUAAAAGGAGUGCUUAAAAGCUGAUUCAUAUCACUGUAUAUUCCUGCACUCAAGAAAAAAAGUGAAUUUAUUGUGAUAUGCUGGUGUGAAUUGCUCCAGCACAUGUACACUUUUUAAAAUCCCAAAACAACUGAUGAGGGCUGUAAACAAAUGGAGCCACAAACACACUGGUGGCUAAAUGGAAGCUCAAUUGAAAAGCAAUUUUGAUGAGAACUCUCUGCAACCAUUCCUUUUUCUCAUGUUUAUGAAAUUAAACAGAGCUUGAAUUUACACAGUGGGCACCAGCAUGGCAUGUAAGUGACCCCAAUGGGAAGCGGGGUUCAAACGGGGAAAAGUAAAGGCAGCAGGAAGGUGAGGAGAGAUAACUAUAAGAAAUCUGCUUGUGUGCACAUUCGUAUAUCUGUGUCACCAUUUAUGAGGUCCAGCACAUCUCAGAGAGUCAAUAAAAACAUUAAAAGUAAACAUCCGAUGGCUAUCCUGCAUCCAUCUUGCGAAUUUCUAAAAUCCACUACAAGUGAACCUGUCAGGAUGCUGGGGGACCAUUUACUGGGAUUGGCAGCUCAGUGUCAGGACUCUCCUUAAGAUACUGAGAUUUUUUGCCCCACUUAUUUGUUCCUCAUUUUGAUCCUGUAUGGAAGGGCCCUAAGAUAGGGUUGCCAUGAGUCAAAAUCAACUGAAGAACAAUAUCAUGAUUAUAUUUUAAAGUAUUUUGAGUUGGCUUGAUAUUGAAUGGACAUUUAAGACCUCUUGGUUGUAUAAAGACUUAUUCCCGGGGAGCUUUCACAUCACACAGUUGGAGCUCUUUAAUUGCCAUGGCUAGAUACUAUGAAAUCCUAGGGUUGUAAUUGGGUGAAUAGAACUCUCUAAAUCCCUUCUUAUCCCAGAUUAGCUACCAGUGAAGACUCAUAUAACCCAGUUUAAUCAGAUAAUCUGGGAUCAGAUGCAGGGAUAUAAGGCAGUGUAGGAUGGGCCUUAGAAUCCUUUCAUAUUAUUAUAUAUUUGAAAUUAUGUGGAAUAACAGUGUUAUAACUGCAAUGUGAAUGAGAUAAAGUGUUUCUCACCGAUGCCAGAGAAGAAAAUCUUGGAAAAUUAUGAUCUGGAGGUCUUAUGCCAUUUAAGGACAAGUUGUGUCCUACUCUUGGCCUUUCUCAGGUAAUCUCAGGUCUCUCUGUCCAUAGUCCAACCAAGGAGCUGCCAGAUUGCCUUUUGCACAUUCGCAAUUCUGCAUCUGUCAGCACAACCUAAUAAACCAGGCAUAAUGCUAUCUACGGCAUGCACUGGGGGGGCAGGGGAUAGGGAGGUAUCAGGAUUGCAAGGCUCCAGCACUCACUGCAAAAAGCUGGAUACUUGGCAGCCUAUUCUUGUUUUAAUUUGCUUACAUUUAGGACUAUGUGACAAUCAUGCGAAAAACUUAGUUUUUAGUUGCCUUGAAUCAAAUUUCUGCCAUGGGCCUAGAAAAUCAAUUCCUUUUCAGCAGAUAUAUAUUAUUCUUAAGUAUUCUUAGUGGCAUCCCAUCUUUAUUUGGACAAGCUUUUAGCCCUGAUGCUCCAUUUCCCCCCUUAUUUGUUAUAUUUUAAAUGUUCAGGUUGUUUUUUUAAAAAAAAUUGUCUUCCUUUUAAUAAGCUAGUUUAAUUGUUCUCAGUUUUUUUUAAAAAUAACACCACAGCUGAUUUUAGCCAUAUAUUGUUUUAAUCCAUGUUUAAUCACUAUUGCUACCCUGUUUCCCCAAAAAUAAGACAUCCCUGAAAAAUAAGACCUAGUAGAAGUUUUGCUGAAUUGCUAAAUAUAAGGCCUCCCCCGAAAGUAAGACCUAGCAACGUUUUUGUUUGGAAGCAUGCCCAGCGCCUGCCAAACAGAACACCAGAGCAUGCAGGAUUGGUAAAUGUACAUACCAGUUGUACAUGGAAAUAAUGGUAGUAACAAGAAAUUCUUGAUAGGAUUCAGAGUUUGGUUAUGUUGGUUUGUGAUGACAACUACUGUACAGGAUAUAAUAAAUGUUCUUUUUUGUUCAACAA